UACGUAGGGUCCGAGCGUUGUCCGGAAUUACUGGGCGUAAAGAGCUCGUAGGUGGUUUGUCACGUUGUUCGUGAAAACCCACAGCUCAACUGUGGGCGUGCGAGCGAUACGGGCAGACUAGAGUACUGCAGGGGAGACUGGAAUUCCUGGUGUAGCGGUGGAAUGCGCAGAUAUCAGGAGGAACACCGGUGGCGAAGGCGGUUCUCUGGGCAUUACCUGACGCUGAGGAGCGAAAGUGUGGGGAGCGAACAGG
rnacentral:rRNA from 1 species